CCCUUGGAUGUCCGGGGCUGCACGCGCGCUACACUGAAGGAAUCAGCGUGCUAAAACCAUUGUCGAAAGGCAUUGGUAAACCCAUUAAAAUCCUACGUGAUUGGGAUCGGGAAUUGCAAUUAUUUCCCUUGAACGAGGAAUUCCCAGUAAGUGUGGGUCAUAAGCUCGCGUUGAUUACGUCCCUGCCCUUUGUACACACCGCCCGUCGCUGCCCGGGACUGAGCCGUUUCGAGAAAAGCGGGGACUGCUGCUGUCGGGGCUUUCGGGCCUUGGCUUCGGUGGAAACCGCUUUAAUCGCAGUGGCUUGAACCGGGCAAAAGUCGUAACA
rnacentral:rRNA from 1 species